rnacentral:rRNA from 1 species
UACGUAGGGGGCUAGCGUUGUCCGGAAUCAUUGGGCGUAAAGCGCGUGUAGGCGGCCACCGCAAGUCGGUUGUGAAAUCUCCGGGCUUAACCCGGAAAGGUCAAUCGAUACUGCGGGGCUAGAGUGCAGAAGGGGCAACUGGAAUUCUCGGUGUAGCGGUGAAAUGCGUAGAUAUCGAGAGGAACACCUGCGGCGAAGGCGGGUUGCUGGGCUGACACUGACGCUGAAGCGCGAAAGCUAGGGGAGCGAACGGG